AUGAUAGUUGUGCCUAAGUGGAUCGAGACUAAAGGUCGCAUGUCAAUUGUUAGCUUAUGGCCAAGAUAUCCUACAAUGCACAUGAGUGCAUUCAGGAUUUCUGAAAGCGAUGAAUGCUUAAUAGUGAAAGAUUGGAGCAAAAUUGUUAACGAUCGCAGAGAAGUACUAGGGGGCAGCAAUCAGAAGCGCAGCCCACGAUUAGGAGACAGGUUCAUCUGCAUGCUCCAAUAUGAUGAAUCAGGAGAGCUAUACAUGUCUAUGCUAUUUUACCUAAGAGAGAGAAGCAGGAGCGAUUUAGCUAGUUAUCGUGCUCUUAGUACUUGUUGUCCUCUCAUGCGUGUCCGUGUUCUUCGUCCUGAACUUAAUCUCAAAGAGUGA
rnacentral:rRNA from 1 species